AUUGAACGCUGGCGGCAGGCCUAACACAUGCAAGUCGAGCGGAUGAAGGGAGCUUGCUCCUGGAUUCAGCGGCGGACGGGUGAGUAAUGCCUAGGAAUCUGCCUGGUAGUGGGGGAUAACGUGCGGAAACGGGCGCUAAUACCGCAUACGUCCUGAGGGAGAAAGUGGGGGAUCUUCGGACCUCACGCUAUCAGAUGAGCCUAGGUCGGAUUAGCUAGUUGGUGGGGUAAAGGCCUACCGAGGCGACGAUCCGUAACUGGUCUGAGAGGAUGAUCAGUCACACUGGAACUGAGACACGGUCCAGACUCCUACGGGAGGCAGCAGUGGGGAAUAUUGGACAAUGGGCGAAAGCCUGAUCCAGCCAUGCCGCGUGUGUGAAGAAGGUCUUCGGAUUGUAAAGCACUUUAAGUUGGGAGGAAGGGCAGUAAGUUAAUACCUUGCUGUUUUGACGUUACCAACAGAAUAAGCACCGGCUAACUUCGUG
rnacentral:rRNA from 1 species